rnacentral:rRNA from 1 species
UGGGGAAUAUUGGACAAUGGGCGAAAGCCUGAUCCAGCCAUGCCGCAUGAGUGAAGAAGGCCUUUGGGUUGUAAAGCUCUUUUAGUGAGGAAGAUAAUGACGGUACUCACAGAAGAAGUCCUGGCUAACUCCGUGCCAGCAGCCGCGGUAAUACGGAGAGGGCUAGCGUUAUUCGGAAUUAUUGGGCGUAAAGGGCGCGUAGGCGGAUUAGUAAGUUAAAAGUGAAAUCCCAAGGCUCAACCUUGGAAUUGCUUUUAAAACUGCUAAUCUAGAGAUGAAAGAGGAUAGAGGAAUUCCUAGUGUAGAGGUGAAAUUCGUAAAUAUUAGGAGGAACACCAGUGGCGAAGGCGUCUAUCUGGUUCAAAUCUGACGCUGAGGCGCGAAGGCGUGGGGGAGCAAACAGGAUUAGAUACCCUGGUAGUCCACGCUGUAAACGA